CAGUAGCCGCGGUAAUACGUAGGGUGCAAGCGUUAAUCGGAAUUACUGGGCGUAAAGCGUGCGCGGGCGGUUAUAUAAGACAGAUGUGAAAUCCCCGGGCUCAACCUGGGAACUGCAUUUGUGACUGUAUAGCUAGAGUACGGCAGAGGGGGAUGGAAUUCCGCGUGUAGCAGUGAAAUGCGUAGAUAUGCGGAGGAACACCGAUGGCGAAGGCAAUCCCCUGGGCCUGUACUGACGCUCAUGCACGAAAGCGUGGGGAGCAAACAGGAUUAGAUACCCCCGUAGUCCCUGUCUCUUAUAC
rnacentral:rRNA from 1 species